AACAAAAGUAGGUUAAACCCACUGGAGACUACUCCCCAGCAGAGUCGCCACUUAAUUUCUGUAGCGGUAAAUUCAUGAUCAUCAAGCUAUGGAUAAGCAAGACAUCAAAUAACAAGAGUCGCCACUGCGCUUUAAUUGUUUCCAAGGGAAAAGGGAAAAUUACGAACAAAACCCAAAAAUAAGAAGUUUUCAAAUCAAAACUAAUAAAAUGCCAGAGGU
rnacentral:lncRNA from 1 species